rnacentral:tRNA from 1 species
GGAGAGAUGACCGAGAGGCCGAAGGUGCUCGCCUGCUAAGCGAGUGUGGGGCCAUAAAGCUCCACCGAGGGUUCGAAUCCCUCUCUCUCCGCCA